UAUCCCCUGUGUGGUUUGUGAUGGGUUACGUCAUAGUAGAACCAACAUCGAGUUCGAGGGAGUUCUCCUUCCGUGCGGUCUGUGCCAGCCCCGCGGGUACGGGGACGCUAACGACCCAUGGAGCGGACACCCACCUGUUGAGACACAGGUUCUAACUCGACACCCACACGGCCCCACGGGGGAUGC
rnacentral:other from 1 species